CCAGACUCCUACGGGAGGCAGCAGUGGGGAAUAUUGCACAAUGGGGGAAACCCUGAUGCAGCAACGCCGCGUGAAGGAAGACGGUUUUCGGAUUGUAAACUUCUGUUCUUAGUGAAGAAGAAUGACGGUAGCUAAGGAGCAAGCCACGGCUAACUACGUGCCAGCAGCCGCGGUAAUACGUAGGGGGCAAGCGUUAUCCGGAUUUACUGGGUGUAAAGGGGGCGCAGACGGCAGCGCAAGCCAGGAGUGAAAGCCCGGGGCCCAACCCCGGGACUGCUCUUGGAACUGCGCGGCUGGAGUGCAGGAGGGGCAGGCGGAAUUCCUGGUGUAGCGGUGAAAUGCAUAGAUAUCACGCAGAACUCCGAUUGCGAAGGCAGCGUACCGGCGCCCAACUGACGCUGAAGCACGAAGGCGUGGGUAUCGAACAGGAUUAGAUACCCCAGUAGG
rnacentral:rRNA from 1 species